UACCAGCACCCCGAGUGGUCGGGACGAUUAUUGGGCCUAAAGCAUCCGUAGCCGGUCCUACAAGUCUUCCGUUAAAUCCACCUGCUCAACAGAUGGGCUGCGGAAGAUACUAUAGGGCUAGGAGGCGGGAGAGGCAAGCGGUACUCGAUGGGUAGGGGUAAAAUCCGUUGAUCCAUUGAAGACCACCAGUGGCGAAGGCGGCUUGCCAGAACGCGCUCGACGGUGAGGGAUGAAAGCUGGGGGAGCAAAC
rnacentral:rRNA from 1 species